GGAAGGUCACCGGCCUAAGUUUUUCCCAAGGUGCCUCAGAAUAUACCUUGUGCGCAUUAUUGUAAUUUUGCCAAAACAGCUUUUGCUCCAUUUAGUAUUAACUAUGCAUAUGCAUGCCCUUAUUAAAAGGCAACACUAGGUUUCACGUUGAAGAUAAAUCAUUCAGUUGUUGGCCGAUACUAACGUAACUGCCAGAUAUAAACUAAUCCAGUGAUGGGUAAAGGCGAGGGAGGUGGUAUUGGAUGCCUCUUUUGGGGUCUAAUAUGGCUUCUGAUCUUAAUAUGGAUCAGUUUCUUCGUGGCGUGUUUCUGUGCGGGGUGGUAUAUUCUACUGUCGCCGAUUUCCGUCUGCAUUGAACCUCUAUCGGCUAUAACGGAUAUUCUUUUAGCUGGUCUUCAACUACCCAAGACAUGUGCUCAAAACAUGAUGGCCGGGAAGUCGCUAUUCUAACGAAGUCAAAAGGUUACGCCAACGGAUGUGCUGUCGUCAUGUAGAGCCACCAGCAUCCAUCAUUCAGCGCUGUUCUGCCCCGACGACCUGGACUUCUGUAACGGUCACAGCACACGGCACCCGAGAUCGGAUCCACUAAUCAGGCAACCUGGUGUAUGGAGAGUGCAAGUUUUGUGUAAAUAAGUUGUGCGAGUGUUGUUCAUUGUUAUAUUUUUGAGCAGCUGUGAUAAUGUCACACAUGCAGUCGGUUACUGAAGUAAUAUACAUGUAAACAUGUGCCCAAAA